AGCGAACGCUGGCGGCAGGCCUAACACAUGCAAGUCGAACGAACCUUUCGGGGUUAGUGGCGGACGGGUGAGUAACACGUGGGAACGUGCCUUUAGGUUCGGAAUAACUCAGGGAAACUUGUGCUAAUACCGAAUGUGCCCUUCGGGGAAAAGAUUUAUCGCCUUUAGAGCGGCCCGCGUCUGAUUAGCUAGUUGGUUGAGGUAAUGGCUCACCAAGGCGACGAUCAGUAGCUGGUCUGAGAGGAUGAUCAGCCACAUUGGGACUGAGACACGGCCCAAACUCCUACGUGAGGCAGCAGUGGGGAAUCUUGCGCAAUGGGCGAAAGCCUGACGCAGCCAUGCCGCGUGAAUGAUGAAGGUCUUAGGAUUGUAAAAUUCUUUCACCGGGGACGAUAAUGACGGUACCCGGAGAAGAAGCCCCGGCUAACUUCGUG
rnacentral:rRNA from 1 species